rnacentral:rRNA from 1 species
AGUGAACGCUGGCGGUAGGCCUAACACAUGCAAGUCGAACGGCAGCACAGUAAGAGCUUGCUCUUACGGGUGGCGAGUGGCAGACGGGUGAGGAAUACAUCGGAAUCUACUUUUUCGUGGGGGAUAACGUAGGGAAAAUUACGCUAAUACCGCAUACGACCUACUGGUGAAAGCAGGGGAUCUUCGGACCUUGCGCGAUUGACUGAGCCGAUGUCGGAUUAGCUAGUUGGCGGGGUAAAGGCCCACCAAGGCGACGAUCCGUAGGUGGGCUGAGAGGAUGAUCAGCCACACUGGAACGGAGACACGGUCCAGACUCCUACGGGAGGCAGCAGUGGGGAAUAUUGGACAAUGGGCGCAAGCCUGAUCCAGCCAUACCGCGUGGGUGAAGAAGGCCUUCGGGUUGUAAAGCCCUUUUGUUGGGAAAGAAAAGCAGCAGGUUAAUACCCCGCUGUUCUGACGGUACCCAAAGAAUAAGCACCGGCUAACUUCGUG